rnacentral:lncRNA from 1 species
CAAACUAUAAUGAGCAUAGUAUUCAAGUGAUUCAUACAUUUUACAUAUACAUCUCGACAAAUGAAAUGCUUUCAAAAGAAGUACAGUCUUUUAUCAUCGUAAAUCUGUUUAUACCUAGUAAUGUGAGACAGCUUCACGUACGUUCGAGUAUGCAUUAUUAAGUCCUGUAUUAUAUACCAUAAUCCCUUGUAGGGGGAGCGUGAUACUUGUGUAUAGAUCUAUACGGGAUUGACAAUCCCACACCUAAGCUGUUAGCUACAGCUAGGCCGGCAGGCCUGGGGUGACAAAUGUCAUAACAGUUCCAACGCCUGAAGAACGUUGUUACAGGCCAACAAUGUCAUUAGCAUGGUUAUAAAACUCACAUAAAAGUAUAAAAACAAGUUAGAUUUACGAGAUUCAUACAUGCAUUUCAGUUUUCCAUUUUAUUGUUAAUACAAAUGUUAUCACUAUUAUUCAAGCAUGGAAAACACUAAUGCACUCCAACACGGGAAACUUUUCAAAUCAUCUAUAGAAAAUAUUGGAUUUUCUGAAAACCUCGUUCAUCGAUUUACUAUCAAAAAGGACAUACUUUUCAAUGCAAAACACUUAUGAACUCACCAACUUAAUUGUUGACACUUUUUCGAAACCACUUGUAUUUCUCAGGGAAUCAGUAAUACAGGUAACUACCAGCUUUUGGAGAAGGAAACACUAAAGAUGUUUUAUUAUUGAACAUUUAUCAUCUCAUUGUAAUAUUCUUUUGCUAUUAUGUAUAACGCAACAACAUACAUUUUCAUUAUAUAUGUGAUGGUUGUGUUACUUUCUUUACAAUAUUCAAUGGUUGUGAUACUACGUGAAGUCAUCCACCCCCGAAUGUUUCCGCCAUUCUGGUUUGGGGGUGUGACAAUCUUUAUCUUCCUGCCUAGCUGAUUCUCCACUUCUUGCUUAAACUCUUUGAAAUUUUUAAAGGUUUAUGACUUAUGCUUGAUUAAGUAGAUAUACCCAUUCACAUAGAAGCGGUUAGCAUCCCUUGUGGUGGAUCUGAAGGGUCCACACACAUCGGUGUGUAUGAGAUCCAACAAACCCUUACCCCUUUCACAAGUGCCAAUGAAGGGUGACUUGGUCAUCUUUCCAAGAAAACAGGAUUCACAAGUGUCAUCCGGCUUUAAGUCAAAUGACUCCAACAAUUAUUCAGUUCUAAAUUUAACCUACUACUAAGCAAUACAGUAUAAACUCCAAUCUUGGUGACAGGCAACUUUUUCCUAUUCCCCGUGAUCAAGUUCAUCUUCCUGUGCUCUACAUCCCUACUUCUUUUAGUCCCUGCAAAUUAGAAAAAAUGUGAAAACCACAUCCUGUAUCCAGGACCCAAGAAUUAGCAUGUGAUGAGUUAUUAGACAGAAUAGUAUAAAUACCUAUGAAGGAGGGUUUGAUUUUCCCAUCUUUUAUGUCCUGCAAGUAUUUGGGCAGCUUUGUCUCUAGUGCCCUUUUUCAUGACAAUGGAAGCACUCGGCUUCCUUUGGAUUGGAAGACGGUUUAGCAUAACCAACUUUGGUCCUACUAGAAGAGGAUCCAUCAUGGGACUUUCCCUUGUGGCUACUGGAAUGAGUCUUCCUCUUCUUUCCCUUCCCAUGUCCAAUUACUAGGACAGGGGCAGUAGAAGUAGGAGUAGAAACAACAGAUUUUCCUUUAAGACUACUUUCAGCAGUCCUUAAAAGGCCUUGAAGUUUUCUUAGAGUGACCUCCUCCUUGUUCAUAUGAUAGGUCAUACGAAACAAAUCAUAACAAAGAGGCAAAGAGUGUAGAAUAAUGUCUAUGGCCAACUCUUCAUCGAAGUUGACAUUCAACUUCAUCAAACGGUCCACAAAUAUUUGCAUCUUCUGCAAGUGGGCCGUGAUGGACUCUUCAUCCUUCAUUUUGGUUGUAAUCACGGAGGCUCUGAUUUCAUACCUUUCCUGCCUUGCACUUUGAUGGUACCUUUCCAUCAAGUCUUGGUGCAUUUCAUAAGGCCAAAAGUCCUCAUAGGACUUCUGAAGCUCAACAAUCAUGGUAGAAAUCAUAAUACACGACACUUUGGUUGAGUCCCUCUCAUGGGCCUUGUAUUUAGCAAUCUGUUUGGGAGUAGCAGUAGAUUCAUCAAUAUCCUAAAGCUCUUUAUCUAGGACAUAUUCUUUGUCCUCAUAGUGAAUGGUCAUUCAUAUGUUUCGAAUCCAAUCAUUGAAUUUCGAUCCAUCAAAUAUGACCCACCCAUAUAAGUUCAUGAGGGAGAAAGAGCCGAAGGGUUUGGGUUUGAAGCAGUGUUGGAAGACAUAUGAAAAGAAAGAAUAAGUUUAGAUUAGAUAAUGGUCCUUAAUAUAGCACCCAAAUGAAAUAUUAAGGCUAGGACCCAACACAAUAUUUAACAAUUCGGAAGAGGGAUGCCGUAAUCCAAUUGCAAAAUAUUUGAACAUAGGUAAAUGACGAUUUACCAAUUUCCACCAUGAAAAACGAAAAUGAUUAUUAAGUUUUACUGGAUUGAAAUUCCUAGAUUCUUUUGAGAUUUAUUGAACUUUUCAAUGGCAUGUUUAAAUCUCGAUUAUGCCCUUCAAGUUUGUGACUGGGAUGUCGAGGAUCACAAACAAAGUGUGAAUAACCAUUUAAAUUAGCUUGGUACACUUAAUGCUACAAAUCAUCCAAUCAAUGUGCUGGUUAACCACACACGCUCCAUUGAUCCAUGAUUAACAUCAAGCUACCAUUUGCUACACAUUGUCGGUCCUAAAUUAGAGUGUCGGUUAACCAAACACACUCUACUAAUGACUUAAAAAGUGUAAAGUACAACUUCAUGGAGUAGCACCAUUUUCACAUUUUUCCUAAAGUAACUAAGAUUAGGAAUUUAUAAAAGUUUAGUUACUUUAAUAAUUAUCAUUAUACUUAUUAAUGAGAAUUAAUGUCCUAUCCUACCCGUUCGACUAACGACUCUCCACCAAUCAAGGAAGCGGUGGGUGAGAGUGGACACCUAUUAAACCACCAUUUUAGAGGCAGUAACCUUAUACCCCCNCUUAUAGACCGACUUCGUGAUUGAGGCCUACUAACGGUAAGACUGACUUAUAUAUAAGUAUUAAAAAUUAAUAUUAUAAUAGUAUAAGGGCUGAAUUUUAAACUCUUCAAGUUCCAAAACUUGAGUGCAAGUUUUGUAACUUAUCAAAACUUUUUAUUUACAUAACUUAUGGAUUGUAAAGUUCCAUGAAUGAGACCUUUCAAAUUCCAAACUUGAGGACAAGUUAUGAAACCUUUCAUGAACUCUUGAAUUCUAUAACUUACAACAGUUAAUAGUUUUAAACAUAAAGACUUUACAUAUUCCAUAACUUGAGGACAAGUUAUGGAACUUUUCAAGAAACACAAAGAUCAAAUUAAACUAAUCAAAUUAUCAUAUAAUUCAUCAUUUACCAAUUUGACCUAGUUCAUAUUCAAGAUAGUUUCAAAAUUUUCCAAUAAUUAAUUUUUCAAAAAAUCAAGUAAUUAUCUUAAAAUUUGAAAAACUUCAUGUUUUUGGAUGGGGAUAAACAUUACCAUAUUAGUAAAAUCAAAUCUUAUGAACCAAAACACUUUGUAGUAAUGAUCCUAAUCUAAAACAGACCAAAAACUCAAAAAUUUUACCAUUUUAUGAGCCAACUCGUCGAGCCAGGCCUUGGACUUGUUGAGUUCAUAGCAAAACUUAUCCAACUCGUCGAUUCCAUUUAUGGAUUCGUCGAGCUCAUUAGGCAGUGGCCAGAAAAGACAUUUUCCAACUUUGAAAAUCAAACAUUUGCAUCAAUAUAAUAGAAAACACCCAUGGCUCCGAUACAACUAAUGGGUUUUAUGUACUCUAACAUUCCUAUGGUGCACAUACAACCCUAAUGCUUUGGAUCUAAGUUUUCUCUAAUAAACAUGCAACAUUGUUUUCCAAAGAAUAAAGCCUAAACUAGCAUGCAAGGUAACAUUUAAAUUAUAAAAAAACAGUUAAAAGAUUACCUUAUAUAGUAGUUUGCUUGGCUUUGACCUUUAGGAGCCUAGCACCUCAAGUGUGAUGCCUCAAAUGUCUUAUAACAAACCAUGAACAAGAGAAUGGAUUUGAGAGAGAGGUUUGGGAGAUCAAAAUCGGCUAGCUACAACUCUAGUGUGUAUGGGAACCGAUUUUAGGGUGUUAGGGAUUUCUUUUAUAGCUUAGGAUUACAACCAUGCAAACCCUAAUGACUCUUCAUAUUUCUUAUUCUUUUGGGCUAAACCUUCUUGGACUUUCACAUAGUUUUAGUCCAACUUUAAUCAACAUGAGUCAUGAGCCCAACUAGAAGUAUUACUGAUUUAUGUAAUCAGUCCCUGUAACUUUAAUCAGUUUCUUUUGAUCACUAAAUUAAUACCAAAUUAAUUCUUGAUAAAUACUAAUUAAAUAAUGUGAUUUCUCAGUUAAUAUAUUAUACUUAUAAUAUAUUAAUAAAUCACAAUAACCUCUUCCUCAAAUAUCCAUCCUAUCAAAUUGUUCUAGAGUGUUACAACCCAAAUGGACCAUGCUAUUAUCGGGUCAAGUACAUACCAAUUAUAGUUAUUGGCUUAGACACCUAAUCUAACAGGGUUUUCACCAGAUAUUGAGGUGCAUUAGAUGGCGAGGGAGUUUUUAGGACCUUCGCCAGAUGACUGAGACUGCGGCAAAGAUCAUUGCCAAGUUUCGAGAGAGCUAUAUUGGUUCUGCAGUAUGCCACGCACAAGGAGAUGAAGAAGGUAAGGUAUCAUGACAUGCUGAGGAUGACAUCAUGGAAUUUGUGAGUUUUUAAGGGGUGUAAGAUCUUGAAUGAUAUGAUAGCUAGAGCCUGAGAGCAUGGGAUUGAUUUGGAGCACCUAAGAAAGAGGAAGUUAUAGCAGAUUCAGAUCGUAGUGGGCCAGGAAAAGAUACCUAAGACUUAGGAUUCACAUUUGAGAGGCCAUCAGGGUCAGGGCCAUUGUGCAAGUGUGGGAGGACCCAUGAGGGAGGAAGUUGGGAGACAGACCGAUAAUGUUUCAAUUGUGGUCAGAUGGGUCAUUUUAGUAGGGAUUGCCCAAGUGGGUCGUUUUCGGUGUGUUUUACUGCAACCAGGUGGGCCACAAGAAGGUCGAUUAUCUGAUGUUGAGGAGUGGAGCAAUGAGUGCACCUGCUCCAGUUACUUUGAGGAUAGAUGACGGUCAUGAGGGUUGGACCAAAGCCCCAACUGCAAGGAUCCGAGCAUUGCAGUGUCAGUUAGGGGAGGCGAGAGUUUCAUCAGAUGCUAUCACGGGUGUGUUAUCUUUGUUUUCUUCAUGAUUAUUGUCAGCAUUUAUGUUUUGCCUUGGAAUCUUGUAUCGGUAUGUGUAAGCAUCAUCUUUGGUUUAGUUCUCUGUUUUUCAUGGGUUACAUCAUUGAGAAUUGUUAUAUGCGAUCUUUGCAUGCCAAGAUGUGACACUCGUAGAUCCGGACCGAUCAAUUUAGAGGCAAUAAGUGUCGAAAACGACUUUUCGGCAAAAUAUUAUUUAGAAUUAAUAAUGAUAACCACGUUGUAGUAUAUGUUAUAAGGUUUUUGUACAUAUAAAGAACGCCAAAAUCCGAGGUAUAACGAAGAAGUUAUGACCCGUCGAAGUUUUUCGGCAAAACCGGCACGACACCGGGAGACAUAAAUAGUGAAUUUACGUUGGAGGAAUUUUUAGCCUUGGUGAUCUAAACCAAAGUUGUAGUAUACGUUAAACCGAGAACAUACAAAAAAAAGAACGCCCAAAUUUGACUUCGUAUGAGGAAGUUAUGAUUUUUCUAAGAUUCGGCUUAGCAGUGCAUGACCCGAAACUCGAAUUUUAGUUUGAGCGGUUUUUGGCUUACACGACCUAAACGAGAGUUGAAUAUCUCAUUAAUAGGAACUCAACGGUAAAAAGAUAGACGAAAACAGAGUCCGUAUGAAGGAGUUACAAAUUCUUCGCGGUCAUUUAACAGUCUAAACGCCUCCUACUGUUAAAAUUGAGAUUGGUCGAGAAUUAGCCGACGGAGUCUAAAUAAAAGUUGUAGAUCUUGAUUUUAUCUACGCGUUGAAAAAAAGAACGUCAAAAACGGAGAUCGUAUGCGAGAGUUAUGAUUUUUCUAAGUUUGAAGGCUGAUACGUAAUAGGGGGUGACGUGGCACCACCAGAACUGGACACGUGGCACCACCAGAAGGCUGCCACAUGCCCCAACUCGGCGAGUAGGUCCUCCUACUCGGCGAGUCCAUCAGUCAGCACCCCUAUAAAUAGAGGUGUCGUGUGACAACCCUAUAUUUUUCCAAAAGCAUUGUAACGCUCGAAAGCUAAGUACAACGAAAUUAACCUCGAAAAUAAAGUGUUCAAGUAUCUAAGUUGGGAUGCAUCGAAUAUUAGAUAUCAUGCCAAGGUUUCCAAAAACAUAAAGAACGCUCAAAACCGGGUUAUAUUGAAGAAAUUAUAACCACUCGUAUAUUUACGACGCGACGUUAAAACAUUAUUUGACGUAAAAAGUAGAAUCUCAAUAAAAUGCAUUUUAAGCCUUAAGUAUCUAAACAAAAGUCGUAGAUCUCGUUGAAAGGUGAACGUGCAUAAAAGGUUCGCCCAAAUUGGACCUCAUAUGAAGAAGUUACGAAUUUUCAAAGUUUCGUAACGGUAGUAGAGGGCUAAAAACUCGGAUUGAAGAUCGAGUGUUAUUUAGCUAACGCAACCUAAAUGAAAGUUGAAGAUCUCCUCAGUAGUAAUAAAACAAUAAAAAGACAAACGAAAACCGACGUCGAAUAAAGAACCUAUGAAUUUUUAACGAACUUUAGGUGGCCCGGCCUAUUAAAAAUAUAUCAUUAAAAAUAAAGUCAAAACUAGCCGACGAAGUCUAAAUGAAAGUUGUAGAGCAUAAUCUCACCUACGCGUGGAUAUAAAGAACGCGAAAAACGGAGCUCGUACGCGAAAGUUACGGAAUUUAGAAGUCGGAAGCAGGGAUUACGCCCCGCGUACUCUGGGAGUACGCCCCGCGUACUAGACCCAGAGUCGAGUCCCAUCGGCCCGCCCAAGCUACGUUUAGCUAGACCCGAGUCGUAAGCCAUGACGCCAUUCUACGCCCCGCGUAACCAAGAACGCCCCGCGUACCGAGUACGCCCAGCGUACUCCGGAAGUACGCGCCGCGUACGAGGGUUUCCAGCCCUAUAAAUAGAAGGCAUGAGCUCGAGUCUUUGCACACCUUUCUCAAUUCUUCAGUCACUCUCACACCCUUCCAAGCACCAGAGACCAUUCCCUCACCUCGGUUUCCGCACUCGAGCCCCGACGAAAGAUUUACGCUGCAGAGAUCCCCGAAGAGCCCGACGACGCAACCAUCCGCGGACGAAGUUCUGCUCAACCCUAGCCUCUCUCUUCGAAACGAGUGAGUUCAUACCCCUACUUUUCAAUUCUUUUCACGUUUUAGGGGGGGAAAACCAAGUACAUUACAAAUCAAAGUAUUAUUUUUAUAAUAUCGUUCUUAUAGAGUGUUGAUACAAAAAUAACUUUAUGUUUUAAAGGGAUAUUAUAUCACCAAGUUGUUAUUACCAAAUGGGAACAUACUUUUGACAAACUAUAAUGAGCAUAGUAUUCAAGUGAUUCAUACAUUUUACAUAUACAUCUCGACAAAUGAAAUGCUUUCAAAAGAAGUACAGUCUUUUAUCAUCGUAAAUCUGUUUAUACCUAGUAAUGUGAGACAGCUUCACGUACGUUCGAGUAUGCAUUAUUAAGUCCUGUAUUAUAUACCAUAAUCCCUUGUAGGGGGAGCGUGAUACUUGUGUAUAGAUCUAUACGGGAUUGACAAUCCCACACCUAAGCUGUUAGCUACAGCUAGGCCGGCAGGCCUGGGGUGACAAAUGUCAUAACAGUUCCAACGCCUGAAGAACGUUGUUACAGGCCAACAAUGUCGUUAGCAUGGUUAUAAAACUCACAUAAAAGUAUAAAAACAAGUUAGAUUUACGAGAUUCAUAUAUGCAUUUCAGUUUUC